UGGGGAAUUUUGGACAAUGGGGGAAACCCUGAUCCAGCCAUCCCUCGUGUGCGAUGAAGGCCUUCGGGUUGUAAAGCACUUUUGGCAGGAAAGAAACGUCAUGGGUUAAUACCCCGUGAAACUGACGGUACCUGCAGAAUAAGCACCGGCUAACUACGUGCCAGCAGCCGCGGUAAUACGUAGGGUGCAAGCGUUAAUCGGAAUUACUGGGCGUAAGCGUGCGCAGGCGGUUCGGAAAGAAAGAUGUGAAAUCCCAGAGCUCAACUUUGGAACUGCAUUUUUAACUACCGGGCUAGAGUGUGUCAGAGGGAGGUGGAAUUCCGCGUGUAGCAGUGAAAUGCGUAGAUAUGCGGAGGAACACCGAUGGCGAAGGCAGCCUCCUGGGAUAACACUGACGCUCAUGCACGAAAGCGUGGGGAGCAAACAGG
rnacentral:rRNA from 1 species